rfam:Triticum aestivum genome assembly, contig: Triticum_aestivum_CS42_TGACv1_scaffold_032239_1BL
UAAGUACUCCCUCCGUCCCAAAAUUCUUGUCUUAGAUUUGUCUAAAUAUGGAUAUAUCAUGUCACAUUUUAGUAUUAGAUACAUCUGUAUCUAGACAAAUCUAAGACAAGAAUUUUGAGACAGAGGGAGUAUAUA